rfam:Asaia platycodi SF2.1, WGS project CBLX01000000 data, contig: 18
CGGCAAGACCCUCGCGAUUUGAACGGCCGGAUUGCGGCGAGGCUAAACAACAGCGCUAAAGAGGCCCGGAACCAGUUUGG